rnacentral:rRNA from 1 species
UACGUAGGGGGCAAGCGUUGUCCGGAUUUAUUGGGCGUAAAGAGCGUGUAGGCGGCUUUACAGGUCCGUUGUGAAAACUCGAGGCUCAACCUCGAGACGCCGGUGGAAACCGUAAAGCUAGAGUCCGGAAGAGGAGAGUGGAAUUCCUGGUGUAGCGGUGAAAUGCGCAGAUAUCAGGAAGAACACCAACGGCGAAGGCAGCUCGCUAGGACGGUACUGACGCUGAGACGCGAAAGCGUGGGGAGCGAACAGG